rnacentral:lncRNA from 1 species
AAGGUUUGAUUUUUGUUGAUUUCAUAAAUCCUAAUUAAUUGUUCUUCUUUUGAUUAACUUUUUGCCAUAAUUUUGUGAUGCAUAUUUAUGUGAGAUCUAAGAUCUCUAAGAUUCUAUUUUCUGUCAUUUGCCCAAAUGGUCUUUUUUUUUCAUUCAAUUAAUUCUGUUAUGGAGGAAGAUAGGAGUUCUAGUGAAAACCAUGGCAAAAACAGAAACAAGAUAUUAAAUAGAGUGCUGGAAGAAGCAAAAUUCUCUGUUAUUAUUGGGAUUUCCUUCCGUCUUAGUUUUUAAUCUUGCUUAAUCAGUCCCACAACUACUUGUAAGAGUUACAUCUGUGUUGGCGUCAUGGAUUUUGCAUACAGUUGAACUUCUAAAUACAACUGCAUUACGAUAAUAACAGAGUGAUAAACAUAUAUGUCUCAUUGUUCUUGGUUAUAAAAACAUGCCAAUUUAAGCAAGUGAAUGACUUUGAAAAUUGACAUGUUGAUAUUACCCGUAUGGAUGAAAUUGCUUCAGCUGUUUAGAAUAACCCGAUUGUUAGAUUUUGAGUGAACCACAAGGUUGACUCAAUUCUAAAGAUAACACUGGCACAUUACUUUACGGCUUAUCUGAAUAUAUCAACUGCUUUACAGCAAGUAGUAAUAUACUAGAAAGUACUUUUGGAAUUCUUUGUCAAUAAUUUGAUUGGACCUAAGAUGAAAUGAUGAAAUAACUUAACAGUCUCCUAAAGGUAAUAGUGAGUCAAUAAGACAUAAGCUAAAUGCUAAACUGAUGCAAAUUUUAAGCAAAACCAUUGUUCACACAACCUUUGGACUUGAUUUUCAAUAUCUUUGCUGGUUGUCAUUGCAAUUAUCGAUUAGUUCUGUUCUGGUGAGUUCCUUAGCUACAUGUAUACACAUGUAAUCCUAUGAAGCAUAUAAGGAGAAAGAAAGAGCAAAGAUGAGAAUAACAUAAAAUGAUUGUAUUAAUUUUAGGGAAGAAAAGGUGAAAGGUAUGCCUAAGGUCAGUUUAAAAUUUUAGCCAACGUGAAGCACUUAUUUUGCACACCUUUUGCCUUCUCUGAUUACCUAUAAUUUGCAUUGUUCCUUAAUCCUUCAGAUCAAGGACUCUGAUAUGAGAAAGAAAGAAAAUAUGGUCCUAAUCUGAUGACUGCUUGCUUGUCUUUCAUUUAUGUGAUCUUUUUCGUUCCCUUUUAUUAUGGAGAACAUAGUUAAUUAAUAUAUGUCGCUCUCUUAGUUGAUUGAGCACAUUUGAAUAAUGAUACAUUGGCUUGCCUUAUCUGCAGCAUGCCCUGUGAAUUUCGAGUUUCUGAACUACACAAUCAUCACAAGCAAAUGCAAAGGACCCCAGUUUCCACCUGACAAAUGCUGUAGUGCUUUUAAGGAAUUUGCUUGUCCUUAUGCAGAUCAGAUUAAUGACUUGACGACAGACUGCGCUACAACCAUGUUCAGCUACAUUAACCUGUAUGGGAAAUACCCUCCUGGUCUUUUUGCCAGCGAGUGUCGGGAUGGGAAGCGAGGACUUAAAUGCCCUGCACCAGCACCAACUCAGUCGGCAAAUGCAGAUCACAUGUAAAAAAAACCCAAUUAAGAAUUUAAAUUUUUUUUGACGUUUUUGUAUUUAUCUAAACAUACAAUCUCGUAAUGAGAUUGCUUUAUAACAAAUAAAAUAUUGUUCUUGUAUUGUUCAAGUAACAUUUAUUAAUGGAAUUCAUCAAUCGGACAACAGUAGCCUCCCGUCUUCAAUUUCUUUGACAGGCAAAUCCUAGCUGUCAAACCAAUAACAUACCAGUACAAGAAAGAAUCUCUUGCACAAGCCAAUCCAUUUUAAGGAAAGAUUGAAACUGAUUAUUAAUUGUGAGCAAUUUUUUUACCAUACAGACACAAACAGUGAGUGAGAUCCAUGGGGUAUGUGUAAUAAGAUGUCUUUCCCCAUCAUAAGAGAGAGGGAAAGAGAAAUCGGUUGAGGAAAAAAAAAAAAAAAGAGAGAACGAGAAAAAAGAGAGAGAGAGAAAGAUGGAGAGAAAAGAGAGAAAAGAAAAGAAAAAGAUUUUUUCUUAGUUCUGACAUAGCCAACACAUGGGAUCAAGUUGUUAUUGCUGGGAGAAGUUUUGGAGUUAAGUUUUAAUUAUUGGUUUCUGUUAAAUUGUUGUGGAGAAGCAUGAUUGCAAUAGAAGUAGAAACCUAAGAUUUUGUAGAAAUAUGCUGACAGUGAAUUAUUACGAAAAGUAUAAUAAUUUAUACAAAUUAAUUUUUUAUUCUAAUUUUUGGGUAUGUUAAACUAGACGUCGUUUAGAAUGUUUUGAAACUUGUUUCAAGUUAAUCGGAUAAGAUUUCAAUUAAUUAUUAUCUUUCAAAGUCAAGUCUGAAAACCUGAAAAUUUAUGAUUUCAGUGAAUAACAUGAAUUACGAAAUUAUUUUUACCAUAGUUAGACUUCUUCGAAAAUUAUGAAAUUUGGAUCAAUGAUUUUUAUAUAUGUCUAGUAUGAUUCUGUAAAUUUUCAUGAUUUUAUGAUAAAGCAAUAAAUUGUUUUGUAUUUUUAAAACAAGUGUGUUCAAAAUAGAAAAUUAUUUGACAGUAUUGAUGAUGUCUGAAACGUCAAUUAUUUUCAAUAUUUUUUGAAGGAAUUAUGUUACGAAAUUUUUAUCAAUGAACUUUCAAUGUGUCAGCAUAUAAUCUGUAAAAUUUGAGGUUUUUACUUCUAUUACAAUUAUGCUUCUCCACAACAAUUUAAUAGAAACCAAUAAUUAAAACUUACCAUCAAAACUUCUCCCAACAAUAACAACUUGAUCUCAUGUGUUGCAUAUGGCAGAACUAAGAAGAAGAAGAAGAAGAAGAAGAAGAAUACUUUCUUCUUCUCUUUUUCUUUUCUUUUCUCUCCAUCUCUCUCUCUCUCCUCUCUCUUUCUCUCUCUUUUGUCGUUCUUUUUUUUUUUCCUCAACCAUUUCUCUUUCCCUCUCUCUUAUGAUGGGGAAAGACAUCUUAUUCUAUUUAUACUAAGGUAAAAAUGAUUACUAAAAACUAAAAAUACGUAAAUACCCUUAGGAGAUUUGGGGUAAUUUGAUUAAAAUUGCUUAUGAGUGGAAAUAUUACAUGAGGUACCCAUGGAUGUCCAGAAUAGCCUUGUAGAAUAUUAUGUCAUUCUUAGUUUUAGAUUAAGAGUUAAAAUUCUGAGCAUCAGACCUGUACAGAUAUGAAUUAGAAAAAUCAGGUUCUUAGAAUCAGUUAUUAAUUGUCAUGCCUUGUAUUUGUUUAAGGUGUUGGAGGUGAUUGAAACUCUUAGAGGUAUAAAGGUGUGUUAAUUCAAAUUCUUUUGUCGAGGUAAGUAACUUCAUUCUUAGUAUACUUGAUAUGUAUAAGUAUUUUGAUAUUAUUAUUAUAAGUAUAAAUGUUUUUAUACUACUUAAAUGAUUAAUUGAUUUUGAUAACAAAAUUAGUUUUAUGUAAAUGUUUUCAAACCUAAAUUCUUUUUAACAAAAUAUUUUAUAAAUGCUUUUUAAUAUGUAAAUUAUUUUAUGACGUGACUACCUUUUAUGAUUUUAUCUAUAAAACAAUUUGCAAGCCUAAAUUAUUGUUAUGGACUUUUAUGAAUCCGAUACGAAUCUUUUGUGCAUAUGCAUGAUUUUAAUUAUUUAUGAUUGUACGGGGGCCACAUCUUGAAAGUCAAAGCGUCACAAAGUGUCACAUAUAGUGCAAAGUGUCACGUAUAAGUCAUUAUGUUUUGGCUCAUUGUCCGUAGUUAUUCUGAUUCUUAUUCUGAUUCUGAUCGUAUAAUACAAUAUAUGUUUGUUCUGGACCAAUACUGAGUUUCUGUUUUGAGUGUGCACACGAUAUUCGGAUUUUGUUUUUGGCUGAGUCACCAGGACUAUAGGUGGCACUAUGUAACAUGAGCUAACUUUUUAUUUUUUUUGUGAAUGUGAUAUAUGAUUUGCUUUCGUAAGUAACUAUGCUUUUGAUAUUUUGAGAUACAAUGAAUUUAUGUUAUUUUAUCGUGAUAUAUCGUUUUAUGAAAUUUAUUGAUUAUGAUAUAUGUUUUUAAAUAAAAGAAGGCUUGCAAUAUUUUUAAUAUCGAUAGGCUUAGUGUGUUAGGAAUAGUUUUACUUACCGAGUUGACGGCUCACCCAUUGUCAUUACUUUUUUGCAGAUUAAGUUCCUUUUGAAAGGUGUGCUUAGCUUUGAAGUUAGAGAUUUUGUUUCUGUUUGCUAUUUGAAUAAAAGGAGGAAUAGACUCAUAUUCUUUUUAUUUUAUUUUUGUUAUGAACUUGAAAUUUAGAGUUUGAGACUUCUGUUAUAUUUAUGUUUUGAGAGAGAUUAUUUAGUGUUAGAUAUAUGAAUUUGUGGAUUUAUUUGAAUAAGAAUUUGAGAUAUUUCAGUUUGGAAUUUAUGAGUAAGGAUUACGAUUUAUAAGUAACCUCCUUCUUCACGUGCUCCGCACGUGUUAGAUUUGGGGUGUUACAAUAUGUGUGGCACUAAUGUUAUAAUUUGUCAAUAGAUUGUAAUAUUAUUAUUUUUUUCUCAAAGAAAAAACAAAUUGUGUACAAUUUUCAUCCACACUCAAGAAGGCAGCCCAUUUUUUCUUUUUUCUUUUUUCUUUUUUACUUUUUUUUUUUUUAAACAUUAGCCCAAAUUUAUCUGAUAGAACCUUUAACGAGAAAUCAAAAUAAAAUUAACAACAGAAAAAUAUCUCGGAUGAAAAUUGGAGCGGUUGAAACCGAUAUUAACGGUAAACUGUCGGGUCUUUGCUUUGCAGACUGCAAUACACAACGGUAACUGAUAACAUGGUUAGAGUAACAGUAAUAGUCACCAGUCACAACAGUUUCUGUAGCCAAAAACCAAAAAAUAAAAAUUAAUGACAGUAACAAAAACUCAAAAGAAAAAUAAAAAUUAAAUUAAAAAAAAAUCCCGGUUUCCGCGUUUUUAUGGGUUGUAAUCCAAGAGCCAGCAACCACUACUGAGACGACUGCUCCUUGUCUUUUUAUUACAAAAUCAUUAUGACAUGUUAUAAAUCUUUAAACUCAUUCAAAUCUGCUCCGUCGCUGUCUGUUGCAUACUGGUUUUGUACAAGCGUGUAAAAAGCUUCUUUCUUUUUUGAAGAGAAUAGGUCGGAGCACAAAAAAAAUUGGAUCUUUUCUGGUGCUGUGAGAGAAAUGGUGGAGUUCAACAGAGGGUUUCUAUCUAUUUUUCUUUUGUUUAUUUUGAUGGGUUUGUCUUCUGCAACUUCCAUUUCAGGUAAUUUAAGGUUUUUCUUUUUCUUAAAGUUAUAUUUAUGCUACUUGGGAUUUUGUUUGGUAGUGAAAUAUAUGUUCUUGAGUUGAAUGCAGAUGGUAUCUUUGAAUCGCACGCUUUUACUGGCAGAAAUCUUCUCCAGGCUAAGAAAGGUUUGAUUUUUGUUGAUUUCAUAAAUCCUAAUUAAUUGUUCUUCUUUUGAUUAACUUUUUGCCAUAAUUUUGUGAUGCAUAUUUAUGUGAGAUCUAAGAUCUCUAAGAUUCUAUUUUCUGUCAUUUGCCCAAAUGGUCUUUUUUUUUUUCAUUCAAUUAAUUCUGUUAGUGAGGAAGAUAGGAGUUUUAGUGAAAACCAUGGCAAAAACAGAAACAAGAUAUUAAAUAGAGUGCUGGAAGAAGCAAAAUUCUCUGUUAUUAUUGGGAUUUCCUUCCGUCUUAGUUUUUAAUCUUGCUUAAUCAGUCCCACAACUACUUGUAAGAGUUACAUCUGUGUUGGCGUCAUGGAUUUUGCAUACAGUUGAACUUCUAAAUACAACUGCAUUACGAUAAUAACAGAGUGAUAAACAUAUAUGUCUCAUUGUUCUUGGUUAUAAAAACAUGCCAAUUUAAGCAAGUGAAUGACUUUGAAAAUUGACAUGUUGAUAUUACCCGUAUGGAUGAAAUUGCUUCAGCUGUUUAGAAUAACCCGAUUGUUAGAUUUUGAGUGAACCACAAGGUUGACUCAAUUCUAAAGAUAACACUGGCACAUUACUUUACGGCUUAUCUGAAUAUAUCAACUGCUUUACAGCAAGUAGUAAUAUACUAGAAAGUACUUUUGGAAUUCUUUGUCAAUAAUUUGAUUGACCUAAGAUGAAAUGAUGAAAUAACUUAACAGUCUCCUAAAGGUAAUAGUGAGUCAAUAAGACAUAAGCUAAAUGCUAAACUGAUGCAAAUUUUAAGCAAAACCAUUGUUCACACAACCUUUGGACUUGAUUUUCAAUAUCUUUGCUGGUUGUCAUUGCAAUUAUCGAUUAGUUCUGUUCUGGUGAGUUCCUUAGCUACAUGUAUACACAUGUAAUCCUAUGAAGCAUAUAAGGAGAAAGAAAGAGCAAAGAUGAGAAUAACAUAAAAUGAUUGUAUUAAUUUUAGGGAAGAAAAGGUGAAAGGUAUGCCUAAGGUCAGUUUAAAAUUUUAGCCAACGUGAAGCACUUAUUUUGCACACCUUUUGCCUUCUCUGAUUACCUAUAAUUUGCAUUGUUCCUUAAUCCUUCAGAUCAAGGACUCUGAUAUGAGAAAGAAAGAAAAUAUGGUCCUAAUCUGAUGACUGCUUGCUUGUCUUUCAUUUAUGUGAUCUUUUUCGUUCCCUUUUAUUAUGGAGAACAUAACAUAGUUAAUUAAUGUAUGUCGCUCUCUUAGUUGAUUGAGCACAUUUGAAUAAUGAUACAUUGGCUUGCCUUAUCUGCAGCAUGCCCUGUGAAUUUCGAGUUUCUGAACUACACAAUCAUCACAAGCAAAUGCAAAGGACCCCAGUUUCCACCUGACAAAUGCUGUAGUGCUUUUAAGGAAUUUGCUUGUCCUUAUGCAGAUCAGAUUAAUGACUUGACGACAGACUGCGCUACAACCAUGUUCAGCUACAUUAACCUGUAUGGGAAAUACCCUCCUGGUCUUUUUGCCAGCGAGUGUCGGGAAGAGAAGCGAGGUCUUGAAUGUCCUGCAUCAGCACCAACUCAGUCGGCAAAUGCAAGUAGGAGUCAGAUCACAUGUAAUUCAUCCCCACUGCUAAUGUUCAC